GACGAACGCUGGCGGCGUGCCUAAUACAUGCAAGUCGAACGCAGUGGGGACGGGUGAGUAACACGUUGGUAACCUCCCAUCAGAGGGGAUAACACUUGGAAACAGGUGCUAAACCGAUACUGAUGGAUGGACCCGCGGUGCAUUAGCUAGUUGGUGAGGUAACGGCUAACCAAGGGCACGAUGCAUAGCCGACCUCAGGGGGGUACCGGCAACACUGGGAUGAGGACACGGCCCAACCUCCUACGGGGGGAAGAAGUAGGGAAUCUUCGGAAAGGGACGAAAGUCUGAACGGGAAACGCCGGGUGAUGUAAGAAGGUUUUCGGAUCGAAAAACUCUUUUGUUAGAAAAGCGGUAUCUAACCAGAAAGCCACGGCUAACUACGUGCCAGCAGCCGCGGUAAUAC
rnacentral:rRNA from 1 species